rnacentral:rRNA from 1 species
CGAGUCGAACGGACUCAUACUGAAACCUAGUGAUUUAUGAGUUAGUGGCGGACCGGUGAGUAACGCGUGGAUAACCUGCCGUAUACCGGGGGAUAACACUUAGAAAUAGGUGCUAAUACCGCAUGAGCGCACAGCUCCGCAUGGGGCGGUGUGAAAAACUCCGGUGGUAUACGAUGGAUCCGCGUCUGAUUAGCCAGUUGGCGGGGUAACGGCCCACCAAAGCGACGAUCAGUAGCCGGCCUGAGAGGGUGAACGGCCACAUUGGGACUGAGACACGGCCCAGACUCCUACGGGAGGCAGCAGUGGGGAAUAUUGCACAAUGGGGGAAACCCUGAUGCAGCGACGCCGCGUGAGUGAAGAAGUAUCUCGGUAUGUAAAGCUCUAUCAGCAGGAAAGAUAAUGACGGUACCUGACUAAGAAGCCCCGGCUAACUACGUGCCAGCAGCCGCGGUAAUACGUAGGGGGCAAGCGUUAUCCGGAUUUACUGGGUGUAAAGGGAGCGUAGACGGCAGCGCAAGUCUGGAGUGAAAUGCCGGGGCCCAACCCCGGAACUGCUUUGGAAACUGUGCGGCUCGAGUGCGGGAGAGGUAGGCGGAAUUCCUAGUGUAGCGGUGAAAUGCGUAGAUAUUAGGAGGAACACCAGUGGCGAAGGCGGCUUACUGGACCGUAACUGACGUUGAGGCUCGAAAGCGUGGGGAGCAAACAGGA